UGGGCUCUCGUCCAAUCCUCCCCGUGUUUCCGCGACUACUGGCUUCAAGAACGUUUCCACGAUCCCCAAAACGACGACGCCGAUCUUCUUUUUCCCGACGAUCUUGAUGCCGUCUUUGACGAUUACGACGACUUUUUCGUUGACCCUACCUGUAAGUUACUUAUUUAACUCGCCCGAGUCAACCAAGUAUAUUUAACUCGGAUCUCACCCCUUUUUUUUCUGUUUUGUUUCUGGGGUUUUAGGUGAAGGGAAGGAAGAAGAUACUCAAAAGGAAUUGGUACCCGUUGGAGCAUUCAAAUGGCGGAAGGGGCGAGUUGUGAGCGAGUCAACUAGGUUUCUUGAGAAAGCGCCCAAGAUCGUGAAUGUGAAAGUGAGUCCGAGGAAUAUUCACCAACCAAGGUAGAUCGAUUCCUGCAGAUUUGAAAUGGGA
rnacentral:lncRNA from 1 species